rnacentral:rRNA from 1 species
AGCGAACGCUGGCGGCAUGCUUAACACAUGCAAGUCGCACGGUACGGGGGCAACUCCGGACAGUGGCGGACGGGUGAGUAACGCGUAGGAAUCUAUCUUUAGGUGGGGGACAACCGUGGGAAACUACGGCUAAUACCGCAUGAUGCCUGAGGGCCAAAGUUGCCGGGGAGACUUGGCGGCGUCUGGAGAGGAGCCUGCGUCUGAUUAGGUAGUUGGUGGGGUAAAGGCCUACCAAGCCUGCGAUCAGUAGCUGGUCUGAGAGGAUGAUCAGCCACAU